UACGUAGGGUGCAAGCGUUGUCCGGAAUUAUUGGGCGUAAAGGGCACGCAGGCGGCUCCUUACGUCUGAUGUGAAAGCCCGGGGCUCAACCACGGAGGGCCAUUGGAAACUGGGGAACUUGAGAACGGAAGAGGAGAGCGGAAUUCCAGGUGUAGCGGUGAAAUGCGUAGAUAUGUGGAGGAACACCAGUGGCGAAGGCGACUCUCUGGUCGGUUACUGACGCUGAGGUGCGAAAGCGUGGGUAGCAAACAGG
rnacentral:misc_RNA from 1 species